UCCAGACUCCUACGGGAGGCAGCAGUGGGGGAUAUUGCACAAUGGGGGGAACCCUGAUGCAGCGACGCCGCGUGGGUGAAGGAGCGUUUCGGCGCGUAAAGCCCUAUCGGCAGGGAAGAAGGAGGACGGUACCUGACUAAGAAGCCCCGGCUAACUACGUGCCAGCAGCCGCGGUAAUACGUAGGGGGCAAGCGUUAUCCGGAUUUACUGGGUGUAAAGGGGGCGCAGACGGCAGCGCAAGCCAGGAGUGAAAGCCCGGGGCCCAACCCCGGGACUGCUCUUGGAACUGCGUGGCUGGAGUGCAGGAGGGGCAGGCGGAAUUCCUGGUGUAGCGGUGAAAUGCGUAGAUAUCAGGAGGAACACCGGUGGCGAAGGCGGCCUGCUGGACUGCAACUGACGUUGAGGCCCGAAAGCGUGGGGAGCAAACAGGAUUAGAUACCCUGGUACA
rnacentral:rRNA from 1 species